CUACGGGCUGCAGCAGUGGGGAAUAUUGCACAAUGGGGGAAACCCUGAUGCAGCAACGCCGCGUGGAGGAUGACGCAUUUCGGUGUGUAAACUCCUUUUAUUUAGGAAGAAAUUUGACGGUACUAAAUGAAUAAGCACCGGCUAACUCCGUGCCAGCAGCCGCGGUAAUACGGAGGGUGCAAGCGUUACUCGGAAUCACUGGGCGUAAAGGACGCGUAGGCGGUUUGAUAAGUUGGAUGUGAAAUCCUAUGGCUUAACCAUAGAACUGCAUCCAAAACUGUCAGACUAGAGUGAGGGAGAGGUGAAUGGAAUUAGUGGUGUAGGGGUAAAAUCCGUAGAGAUCACUAGGAAUACUCAUAGCGAAGGCGAUUCACUGGAACUUUACUGACGCUGAGGCGUGAAAGCAUGGGGAGCAAACAGGAUUAGAUACCCUAGUAGUC
rnacentral:rRNA from 1 species